AGAGAGAGACAUGCGCGCAUAUCAAUAAGCGGAGGAAAAGAAACUAACAAGGAUUCCCCUAGUAACGGCGAGUGAAGCGGGAAGAGCUCAAAUUUGAAAUCUUAAAGGGUUUCCCUUUAUGAAUUGUAGUUUAAAGAAGUGUUUUCUGUUGAGGUUUUGGUAAAAGUUCUUUGGAAUAGGACAUCAUAGAGGGUGAGAAUCCCGUAUUUGACCUUUACUUUCAACUUUGUGAUACACUUUCAAAGAGUCGGAUUGUUUGGGAAUGCAGUCCAAAAUGGGUGGUAAAUUUCAUCUAAAGCUAAAUAUUGGCGAGAGACCGAUAGCGAACAAGUACCGUGAGGGAAAGAUGAAAAGAAGCUUUGAAAAGAGAGUUAAACAGUACGUGAAAUUGUCAAAAGGGAAGCAUUUGACACCAGUGUUGUUUUUCUGAAAAUCAAUUAAAGAACUGUUUAUGCUAAGUUGUUUAGACUUUAUCAGCUAACUGUUUAGUUUUGAGCUUUUCUUUAAUGCACUUUUCAGUUAACAAGUCAACAUCAAUUUCUUUUGCUGUAAAAAAGCUUGAGGAAGGUGGCUUGAGAUUCGUCUUAAGUGUUUAUAGCCUCUUGCCUAUGCAGUCGGAGAGAUUGAGGUCUGCAGCGUAGAUCCUUCGGGGCUAAAUGCAUUUGUGCUAAGUUAUAGCAUUUUAUAGACAACUUGUUGACUAUGAUUUGUCUUGUAGCUUACUCGCUUAUGUUAUUUUACCUACGCUUAGGAUGUUGACGCAUGAGAUAUACGC
rnacentral:rRNA from 1 species